rnacentral:rRNA from 1 species
UACGUAGGCAGCGAGCGUUGUUCGGAGUUACUGGGCGUAAAGAGUGCGUAGGCGGUUUCUAAGUUUGGUGUGAAAUCUCCCGGCUUAACUGGGAGGGUGCGCCGAAGACUGGAAGGCUUGAGUAUGGGAGAGGUAAGCGGAAUUCCUGGUGUAGCGGUGAAAUGCGUAGAUAUCAGGAGGAACACCUGCGGUGUAGACGGCUUACUGGACCAUAACUGACGCUGAGGCACGAAAGCGUGGGUAGCAACAGG